rfam:Rattus norvegicus chromosome 14, whole genome shotgun sequence.
GGGGAUUUAGCUCAGUGGUAGAGCGCUUGCCUAGCAAGCGAAAAGCCCUGGGUUCGGUCCCCAGCUCCG